CGACCCCAUGCCCACCGGGCCCGAGUCUGUUCUCUAUCACAUCUGAGGGGGUCUUCCAGAAUUGAGCCCCUGGACUCCAGGUCUCUGGUUUAUGAGAGGGUAAACUGAGGCCCAGAGGGGGCUACAACCUGCCAGGCUGUCCGGCAGCUGAGUGAGGCCAACGGCCCCCGCCCCACAGGAGACGAAGUCGCAGACGUCGGUGACACUCAGCAUCGUCCACUGCCCUCCCGUCACCACCGCCAUCAUCCACCGGCCCCACGCCCGCGAGCAGCUGGGCUUCUGCGUGGAGGACGGCAUCGUGAGGCCCCGGCCCCUGGCCCCGGGGUGGGGGGGUAGGGCGGCCCUGAGCACGGCCCCUGAGCAGCCCCCACCUCUUUCCCGUCCCCCUCUUUUCUCCCCCAGAUCUGCAGCCUCCUCCGUGGUGGCAUCGCCGAGCGUGGGGGCAUCCGCGUCGGCCACCGCAUCAUUGAGAUCAAUGGGCAGAGUGUGGUGGCCACGCCACACGCCCGCAUCAUCGAGCUGCUCACCGAGGCCUAUGGCGAGGUGCAUAUCAAGACGAUGCCAGCUGCCACAUA
rnacentral:lncRNA from 1 species